UUUCCGUCAAGCUCACUCAACUCAAGUUAGGUUCUGUCAGUCGCUGUGUUUGUGUAUUGUGUUGUGAAAAAUUAUCCGUAUCGAUGAAUAUCAAUGGGAAAUCCUGCUGAUUACGACGCCAAACGAUGGGUCGAUUGUUGUGUUUGUGGCUUUAAUGCAUUGUUCGAGCAGUGAUGAUGGCCAAGUGAAGUGUUUUGUGUCGUAUGCUGGGUUGUCAGCAACAGUGAGAUCCUUUCUCUGGAUAUAUCGUCCUCAAGACGACGUCGGAUCAUAACACGGGAAGGUGACACACCAUGUCGGCAAAAAACAUCCCAGGAGAUAAGGUAAAGCGGAUGUCUUUUCUUAAUCAACGUUUAAGAAUUCUCCGAAUAAUAGUCUGGUAAAAGGCAAUGCUCCAACUUCAAGAUAAACACACAUGGCUCAGACAUGAGGUAUAACUCAACUUUGUUACUUCCCAAGAUCCUGCCGUGGACGUUGAUGGAACAAUAUACGUGAGCAUUUAAUUUACUUACAUUAGCCUGACUUUUAUGAGAACACUAAACAAAGAACCAGUUCACUAAUUUCAUUUUGAUACUUUGUCCGGGUCCUGUUCUCAAUGGUAUCGGAAAAUAUGCAUAGAUCCAUCUUGGAUCUACUGGUUGGAUCUAUCGAGAAUGAAGGGAGACAUCAACAGCUGAUGACAACUUAUUAUGAGACGGACUUUGAAAUGACAACUUGUGGGAGUGCUACUAUUGACGUCAUAUUGCAAAGUCUGUGCAGAGUUAGCUUGGUUCUAUUGUCCACCAUUGUAUUGUAUGACGUGCUACAAUGUUACAUGAUUGCCAAGAGUAACCGAUUAAAACAGCAGACUAAAAUUAAGGUUGUAAUCUUAACUUUUUGUUAGUGAUAAGAGAUAACUAGUGAUCAUUUUCAAACUAUGCUAGAUAACAUUUUUUCAUUGAACGCAAGUAAAUCUUACAUUUAUCUUUAGAGAGUUACAACGGCCAAAAUAACCAAAAUUCAUUACACUCCCUAUAUCCUACAGAAGCCCGUUUAAAUUAAUAUCGUGAUAAUUUAAUUAAAACCCUUCUCAAACCUAAAAUUAUCAUUAACAAGACCAAUUUGGACAGUAGGUGUAUCUAGUUCAGCGCGAGUUGAGCGAGGGCAGGCGAGGUCAAAUGUUCGUGGACACCACUAGAAUGUCAUAUGUGCGUAAGGAUAUCGACACGUCCGUCGGUUUGGAAGUGAAGUGCGCUUUGUUCGCUUUCAGUGUUCGUUAUAUUGCCUGUGCUGUGCGCAAACACCGAUUGUUUGGUUCGCCUGUCAAAGCGAACCGCGGCAGACGCGGGUGUCUGUGCGAAAUUGUAUAGGUAAUGGGUUAGGACCACCGGUCUGGCCUAGUGGAUAGUGACUCUACCUAUAUAGCCGAUGGUCCCGGGUUCAAAUCCUGGUAAGGGCAUUUAUUCGUGUGAUGAGUCAUGGGUGUUUUCUAUGUAUUUAAGUAUUUAUAUUAUAUAUAUAUAUCGUUGUCUAUUCAAGUACCCACAUCAAAAGCCUUAUUCAGCUUACUGUGGGACAUUAGUCAAUUUGUGUAAUAAUGUCCUGUAAUAUUUAUUUAUUAUUUAUUUUAAAUUCUAAUAGCGACUGCGUUGCA